rnacentral:rRNA from 1 species
UAAGUAAGUGGUGGAAAUUAAACCAAAUGGGAUAUCUUUAGUAAUUGCGAAUGAACAAGGAUAUGCUUAGCUUGACAAAUGGAGCUAUUGGCUUUGAAUUGUAUUUGUGGAAUGUAUUACCAACAGAGGUGCAGGUGCCAGCCUAUUGAAAUAAAGCGUCAAUGAGGGUGAGAAUCCUGUUUGUCAUGUGCAGCCCUUUGUGCACGGUGUAUAUUUGCUGAGUCACACUCCUUGGCAUUGGAAUGCAAAGUGGGUGGUAAGUUUCAUGUACAGGUAAACAUGCAAUUGAGACUGAUAGCACACAAGUACCAUGAGGGAAAUAUGAAAAGGACUUUGAAAAGAGAAUUAAAUGAGUUUGUAUUUGCUGAACACAAAGUAAACAGACUUGAUUUGCUUGGUGGGAGUGUUGCACUUGCUUGACAAGAGCUUUGGGCUGUGGGUGUAAUGAUUCUUUCUUUGCAUGCCAGUUUCUAUGUGUACAUCUGAUUACCUUUGCACAUGAAUGAUAAGUCUCCUGUGGGGGGUGGAUUGCAUGUGCAUGUAAUGAUUUGUGUUUUGAUAAAUGUGUCUGGUGUAUGUGUGUGUGUUCCUGUGCUUGGGGAUGCUUCCUUCCUUGGACUUACAAGCCCUGACACACACAUGCUGGCAAAAUGCUUUUGCUUGACCCG